rnacentral:rRNA from 1 species
ACCGUUAGGCGAUGGAUUGCUGGGUACCCGCUUCGACGAAGAGCGCAGUGAAACGCGAUAACGCUUGUGAUUCGCACUCUCUGUGAUCAACGUCACCUCGAACAUCGAUGCGGCCUUGCCUUCGGGCACUGGCCCCCCUGGUUUGCCU